rnacentral:rRNA from 1 species
AUUGAACGAUGGCGGCAGGCCUAACACAUGCAAGUCGAACGAGUGGCGGACGGGUGAGUAAUGUCUGGGAAACUGCCUGAGGGAGGGGGAUAACUACUGGAAACGGUAUCUAAUACCGCAUACCAUCGGAGGGGCCCAGAUGGGAUUAGCUAGUAGGUGUGGUAAAGGCUCACCUAGGCGACGAUCCCUAGCUGGUCUGAGCGGAUGACCCGCCACCCUGGAACUGGGACACGGUCCCGGCUCCUACGGGAGGCAGCCGUGGGGAAUAUUGCACAAAGGGCGCAAGCCUGAUGCAGCCAUGCCGCGUGGAUGAAGAAGGCCUUCGGGUUGUAAAGUCCUUUCAGCGGGGAGGCGUUACCCACAGGAGGAGCACCGGCUGACUCCGGGCCAGCCGCCGCGGUGAUAC